rnacentral:rRNA from 1 species
UGGGGAAUAUUGCACAAUGGGGGAAACCCUGAUGCAGCGACGCCGCGUUAGCGAUGAAGGCUUUCGAGUCGUAAAUCUCUGUCCUAUGGGAAGAUAAUGACGGUACCAUAGAAGAAAGCCCCGGCUAAUUACGUGCCAGCAGCCGCGGUAAUACGUAAGGGGCGAGCGUUGUCCGGAAUUAUUGGGCGUAAAGAGUGCGUAGGCCGCAAAUUAAGUCAGAUGUGAAAACUAAGGGCUCAACCGUAGUUAGCCUCCGAAACUGGAAGACUUGAGUUCAGGAAAGGAAAGUGGAAUUACCAGUGUGUCGGUGAAAUGCGUAGAUAUUGGGAGGAACACCAGUAGCGAAGGCGACUUUCUGAACUGCAACUGACACAGAGGCACGAAAGCCUGGGUAGCAAACAGU